GCAGUACUGAGGAGUCCCACAAUAGGACGAAACGGUCGUCCAGUGC
rfam:Schistosoma haematobium scaffold38_18, whole genome shotgun sequence.